GCGGUGUGUUCCGUCUUCUCGGUGCAGACGGAAUUCCCGUGGACGUUCGACCUCAGAGGCGGGGCUCGACACGAAAAGCAUCCGUGGAGCUCAAGUUUGAGGUGAAACCAGGCUCAGGGUCCACCUGUCCUCGCUGAUCCAUGGAUUUCUGUGUGACCAGGUCCCGGGCUGGACAGAGAGUGACUCUACUGGGAGCUGAGCCAUGAGACUCAGCACGUCACCCACCUGGGCUCCUUCACCCUGGACUGGGACAGCCUCUACGUCAGUGGUUACACCUAUGGAGACGUGGCGUCGACUACCACCACUUUGGGGCACAACCUGAAGACCCUCAAAGUCAACGUCACCAUCUCCACCCUCCAGUAUUCAUCAGACAUGAG